rnacentral:rRNA from 1 species
GCUAGUAAUCAUAGGUCAGCAUACUAUGGUGAAUACGUUCCCGGGCCUUGUACACACCGCCCGUCACACCAUGAGAGUUGAGAAUACCCGAAGUCCAUGUUAAAGUGGCCGAAGGUAGGCCUGAUGAUUGGGGGUGAAGUCGUAACAAGGUACC